ACCAACUCUGCUAAAUGGUGAAACAGAGCAGCUAAGAGUUCUCUCUCAGAAAGGCUUCACACAUGCUGGCAUCAUCAGACUGAGAUCCAGAUUGAAAACAACCUGUUCCAGUGGGAAUACAAUUGCUUCUGCGUUACCUGUUGAGGUUGUGCGCUGUUGCCGUUUGGAC